GAUGAACGCUAGCUACAGGCUUAACACAUGCAAGUCGAGGGACCGGCGCCCGGGUGAGUAACACGUAUCCAACCUGCCCUUUACUCGGGGUUCUCCUUUCGAAAGCACGAUUAAUACCCGAUCUCAAGGAUGGGUAUGCGUUCCAUUAGUUUGUUGGUGAGGUACCGGCUCCCCAAGCCUUCGAUGGCUAGGGGUUCUGAGAGGAAGGUCCCCCACAUUGGAAAAGAGACACGGACCAAACUCCAACGGGAGGCAGCAGUGAGGAGGAUUGGUGAAUGGGGGCUAGCCUGAACCAGCAAAGUAGCGGGAAGGAGGAAGGAGUAUGGGACGUAAACUUCUUUUAUAUAAGAAGAGGUAUUAUAUGAAUAAGGAUCGGCUAACUCCGUGCCAGCAGCCGCGGUAAUUC
rnacentral:rRNA from 1 species